ACUCUUUUUUAGAUUCCUUUCCCAUAUAGGCCAUUACAGAGUAUUGAGUAGAGUUCCCUGUGCUACACAGCAGGUCCUUAUUAGUGGCUUGUGGGAGUUUAAUAUUGGUUGCAAAGAGAAGCUGAGCAGUGCAUUCAAUGGCUACAUGUAGUCACCCGUUUUCAAGUUUAUUUGUUCAGUGCAUCGGUUGGUUCUUAGUUCUUAAAUACUUGGUACCCAUCCAUCAUUCAUGCCUUAAUAAUUUUAAUACACUAACACUGUAUCUCAGUCUGGACUCACCUAAGCAGAAAUCAGGCUUCACUGAAAGAGUACAAAGGGUGUUUGCUGAAGAAUAAAGGAGGAGGCAAAGGAGUAGGUAAUCUUGAAGGCAGUUCAUUUCCCAGGAGGAUAGGCCCCGGGUGGGCCACACAGUGGGACCUACCACGCAGCCAGAAGGAUGUGGUAAAUGCACUGGGAAACUGAAUAGAAAAGUAAGGGACAAGGUGCCUAAAAACGUUUCUCCUUGGCAGUAUUGCUGCCUGAAGUUCCUACAACCUAAACCAGUUAGCGAGAGGCUUUUUCCAAAAAAUUACGAUCAACCUGCCCCAUCAUCCUACUUUGAAAAGCCUGGAGUAACAGAACAAGGAGAGCAAAAUGGAUUUAUCUAGCAGUUCGUCACAUACGACCAACUCCAGGGGACACGGGUUCGAGCCCUGCUCCGGGAAGAUCCCGCAUGCCGCGGAGCAACUAAGCCCGUGUGCCACAACUACUGAAGCCCGUGCUCCUUAGCGAGAAGCCACCACAAUGAGAAGCUGGCGCAUCACAGUGAAGAGGAGCCCCACGCCGCAGCUAGACAAAGCCCGCACGCAGCAACGAAGACCCAAUGCAGCCAAAAAUAAAUUAAUUAAUUAAUUAA